rnacentral:rRNA from 1 species
ACUCCUACGGGAGGCAGCAGUGGGGAAUAUUAGACAAUGGGGGAAACCCUGAUCCAGCGACGCCGCGUGAGUGAAGAAGUGUUUCGGCAUGUAAAGCUCUAUCAGCAGGGAAGAAAAUGACGGUACCUGACUAAGAAGCCCCGGCUAACUACGUGCCAGCAGCCGCGGUAAU